ACCGAGCGGCGCGCUGGCGCCGUGCAGGGUGGGCCCGGGCUCGCUGGUUUACCCCCACAGCCAUGCACCUGGCAGCUCCCCCCUUCCCGCUCCUCCUCGCUCGCCCAUUCCCCGGCCCCCUUCCAUCCGGCCCCCGCACCGCAAGCUGUUCCUAAUCAAUGAGAACGGGAAGCUCGGCCCUCACAUUACAUCACGGGAUGUGCUUGGCAGCGGCAACGGCAGCAACGGGAGCCGCUGCCUCGGGCAGCACAGCCCUGGGUUCGAGCGGCCUAGGUCUGGCCGGGUCCUCCUUCCUGCUCAGGCCUCGUGGGUGUUGCGGAGGGAAGCCGGGCCCCUGAAGCCUCCCGCGGGCGGCGCGCAGGUUCGCCGCCCCCGCCCCCGCCCCCGCCCCCGCCCCCGGCCGGGUCCCCGGCGCUGCCGGCGGAGGGCAGCUAGUGUUAACUCGCUGCGCCACCUAGCUACGGCGUCCGGGAAUGCAGCGCGCCGUUCCCCCGGGGGUGCGGCCCCUGGGCCCAGCUGCCCCACUCUCCGGAAAGCCCCAUCUGGCCCUUCGGGGCAUUGUCAAUGGAGAACUCGGCACCUGCCAACCUGGAGGGUCGAUAUCUAGCAGCCCGGACCAUCCCAGCCCUGUGACUCUGUGUAGCUGCCCUUUGACAGGUGGCCAGCCUCAGUACUGUGUGCAGGUCCAAGCUUCUGGGAGAUGCCCCUCGAGCUGCUGUUCAGGAUCACAGCAAAGCUGAGACACAGGGCCCUGGAAGCUGACCUCCUUGACCCAUCUAUGCUUUAUUUAUGUGUGCCUCACGCUUUAUAGAGUAUAAAACCAUCGGGUCUUCUCUGUAAAAAUCCCUACUCGCAGCUCGCUGUGCCGUCCAAGGCAAGCCUGGCAGGGGUUGGACCGGGAGGGAAAGGAGGCCUAGGAGACCACCGGGUGCCUCAUAACAGCAGGCCUGGGAUUUGGGUUCCAGGCCCAGGGCUCGAGGCCACCUGCCUACCCACUUAUUCAACCCAGCCUGGGCUUUCAGGGCUGUAAGUUGGAGAUUUUGAGUCAGAGGCCCAGAUUCUUCUUCACGUCUUAUCUGGACAGCUCUGGACGGUGGCUGCCUGAAGGCGUCGGGGGGUGGGGGGGGGGCUGGGGAGUGGGGAGCAGAGCAAGCUGGCGAGAGCGUCUCGCUGCCCUGCCCUCCACAGGGAGACACUGCAUCCUUCCUCUGGUUAGUCCAGCCCUCGGGCGCGGGGGUCUGUGUGGCCAGGCCUGCACUCCGGGCCACCUGGGCUUUGCAGGAGAAUUAGUGCUACUGGGGUUUCCACAUCAAUUCCUCGGGUAUUGAGCGUCAAGGAUGGACCUGCAGGAAAAAAAUGUUCUCGGGACGCGGAAGGUGCCAAACACCUGGUGCUUCUGUCCCCCGGGUGGUCAGUGUAGCCACAGUUGGAAGAAGGAUCUAGAAGGAUCUAUUUAGAGUCUUGUCAACCGCUCCCAACUGCACGUCCAGGUGUGGCGGAUAUAGUCGUGAACAAAACACUGAUAGGCCUUGACCCCAAGGGGAUGAUGGUCUGGUGGGGUGCUCCCAGGCAGGAACCCCUGGACCUGGGAGGCCUGGUGGCCAAGUCCUUAGGGCUCUUGAGCCCUCCAAAGCCAGAGUUUUCCACUCUUCCAGCCCUGGCCCAGCCAGAGGCUCCCAGUGUGGAUGGGAUUUGAAGGAAGGGCUACUUGGCCUCCAGACUCCAGGCAGCAGUCCUCCACUUAGACCUCUGAUUGUGGCACAUGUUUGUGUUUGUUGCCCUUCCGUGAGCCCAAGUCUGUCUCCCCGCAGAAGGCAAGUCCUUGGUAAAGAGGCUCCUUUAGCCUGAAUGUCAGGUGCUGCCCCUUAGGGGGCUGAGGAAGUUAGAGUGCCUGAGGGUAGGAGGCAGGUGGCCUCGGCCUGCUGUCGCUUAGGUGGGUUCUCCUUCCCAGGCCCCCUGGAUUCUCCUUAGGAAAGGGGGGCAGGUGGGGUAAGACCGUGCUCAUGGCCACAACGGGAGAGGUAGCGUGGAACACAAGGAGGCCAGGGAGCCCUCAUGGUGCCCCGUCCCCGCCGUCUCCUGGCCAGCCUGUCCGUCCUUCCAUAGGUAAGGAAGCUCCACGUGUGGGAGGCUUCCCCUGCCCAGGGCUGAGGGUACCUUUCCUCUCCGUGGGGACUCACUUCUGCCACCUUCUUUUCCUGGUCGGUUGUUCCUUUUCUGCCCCUUCUUCUCAUUCUUUGCUUCCCCGCCCUUCCCCAGCACAUUGCAAGGGUGUGUGGGUAGUGGCUCCUUGGCCUGGGGGCUCUCCAGGCCCUCACCCUGAUGAGUGCCCUCUGUAGCCAACGGCUGGCUGCAGCACAGCUGUGCUUAGGAAGCCGCUCCUGGGUAUUUUCAGGAAAGUCUUCUCCCCUUCUGUUUCUGUGGUGGUUUCUUUUGUUUGUUUGUUUGUUUUUAAAGGAAUCAUUUCCUCCUUUCCUUUCUCUUUCUCUCUCUGCUUUCUUCCCUCUUUCCUCCCUCUUGGAACCUUCCCCCUCUCUGAUUUCUUUCUAUGGCAGCCUUGUUUUGAACCACUUUGCUUUGGUUCUGAUGUGCUGUCUUGGCCCCUCUCUCUCUCUCUCUCUCUCUCUCUCUCAGUUUUCACGUUGUCUUCUUGUCAUUCUCUCGCUCGGGGGCUCACUGAUUCCUUCUCUCCUUUCUCCAAACUCCCACUUGUGUCAGGUGUGUCCCUCCAGAGCUUCUGUGCCCCCCCCCCGUCACUUCUCAUCCCUGGUUGGCAUUAGCGCCCAGAGGACUCUGUGCCUUAACAAAUAAUUCGACCAAGGACAAGUGUGUUUGGGGGAUGGGGGGAGGGUGAUGCCUGACCCUGGGAGGUGGGGACACUAUUAAUAGUCCUCAGAGCAGCUGGAGGUGGGGGCAGUUGUCUGGCCAGGCCCGGGCAGCUUACAGGGCCAGAAAGGGCAACGCUGGAAAUAGAGCGGGUGGGGGUGGGGGGGGGAGCAGCUCCGCGUGCCCCGAGCCUGGAUGGGGGGACACCCUCCACAGGGCCCGCCUUUUCUUGGUGUGCUGGGCCCACUGUCAGUUUCUGUCUGUGAGGCUGAGGAGGGGACAGAAGCUUUAGGGGCUGGGGGCCACUCUUCUGGACCCCACUAUGACAUGACUCCCGGCCCCAGGCCCUCUUGGAAAUGUUGGCUUCCAGCUGCUGGUUGAGCCGUGGCACCGGCCGGCGCUCCCAGGAGAGGCAGCUGGGCACCCGUUGGGGCAGCACCUAUGCUUCUGGUGUCCUCAGCUCUCUAUACCCUUACCGCUGGGCUCGGCUAGGCGGGGCCUAGGGCCCAGCGUCCUCAGAAUCCGGGGCACAAGCAUUUUCUCCCCCUUCCCUGUUGCCCUUACGCAUCCCCCGGGUAAGGGGAUUUCCAGUGUGGUGGCCGUCCAGAGACCAUUUACCGUGACCACUGACUUUGGGGGGGAGGGACACGCCUGUAGAAGGCAUCCCGCUUUCAUUUCCAGACAAACCUCUCUGCCCCUCUUUGCAGAUCGUCAUGGGCCAGGCCCUGAGGGAGCCCCUCAGCUUACUGGCUGUGUUCUCUGGGGCAAGCCACCGAAAAAUAGUAAUCCAGGGCAUGCUCAGGGUGUCAUAAAGAGUAUGCACGCCUGAGGGCAGGGAGCUGAGGGCCAGCCACACUCCCCCACGAAGCAGCCUGUGAGCAGAGUGGGAGAAGGAGGAGCAGUUUCAGCUCAUGGAGGUGAAGCACCUUUUACCUGUUUUCUCGUUUUCCUCGCCCAGGAACCCUAGGUGGUGGGUAGCACCUGCAUUUAACAGAGGAAGAAACAGCUCAGAACUUGGCCAAGGUCACUGCGUUGGUAGAUUCUAGAGCAUGGAUGUGAACUCAAGAGGAGCCCCUUUCCACUGUCGCUGGUUAUCCACCUCUAUCCCCCUCUGCCCUCCCUGUGCUGGGGUGAGCCCCCCACUUAGAGCAGACACGGGGUCCAGACCAAGGACAUCUCCCCUGGAUAGGCCAAGGGCAGGCUCUGGGCAAAGGUGGGCCAGGGCCCGGGGCGGGGGUGCUCCCGCCUCCCUCCUCCCUCCUCCCUCCUCCCUCCUCCCCAAAGACCCCUUCCUUUGGCUUCUUCAGUAGGGGCCACUUCACCCCCAAUCCCUGUCUGACAGGAAUUCUGACCUGAUGGGAUUUGCUGGCCCCUGGGCACCUCUGGAACACCCCAGAUGGUGUUACUGCAAGGCACUGGGUCUGCUUGUUCAGAGAGAGCCACGGAGCACUGACGUCUGAGGUCUCGCAGGUCGGUGCUGAGUCCCCUGCAAAGGGGGGACCCGGGAGGAGACCGUGGGUCCGCCCGCAUCCCCCAGGGCUGCCUGCCGGGCUGGGCGUGGAGAGGCCCCCAACCUGCGGACGGACCUGGCCUUUGCCCCUCCAUCCACCUGCUGGGUGUUGUGCUCUGCACCAAGGUGUAUCCUUCCUCCUGUCUCCUUUACGGGCCACUGUCUGUCCUCUCAUGGGAGUAAGCAGUCGGGCACCCAGUUCCCUUGGGCUUCAGUGACCGGGUCGCGUCUCUAGUUCUCCCUGGGCUGGGGGCAAUGCCAAGGAAGGUUCUCCCGUCGGGUGCGGGGCAGAGAACGCUGAGCAGCUCACACCAGGGGAGGACCACAGACAGGCACUGGCGGAGGCAGGGUGGGUGGCGGUGGGGACGGUCGUGCUUGCCUCCAGGGCCAGGGCCUGCGACUGCCGACUGCCGUGUCCCAUCCAGAUGUUCCCUGCGGCCUGAUCUGUUGUCCCUGCCCCAUCCUCCCUUCGUGGCCUUCUUGAGCUCAGGCCUCAGGGGCAGCCAGAGCAGGUCUAGCCUACGAGGUGUGACCGGCACGCCACCUCCCCACCCCCCCGCACAGGUGAUGACUCAGGUCAAAGGCUCAAGCCGCUUCAGAUCCAUGAGUAGAGGGGGAGUGAGGCAAGGAGAGAGGAAGGUAAUGAGGGGGUGACGUGUGUGCCUAUCCUGCCCCUGGCCACACCCUGCCCAGAUCUUCAGGGCUGUGCUUCCUGGUCAUGCUCCUGUCCCCACCACGUGGGGCUCUAGGGGUGACAGAAGAGGGAUAAACCUCAGGAUGGCUCCGGGGCCCCUGUGUAGGCAGGAAGCUGGGGGCGGAGCACAGAGUGGAAAGAAGGAAGCCCCUGGGCCGGGCCCAGGCCGAGCCCCUCCCCUCUUUGCCCUCUGGCUGCCCUGCACUCUCAAGGACUUCCUGGGUCCCUGGGUCUCCUGUUUGCAGAGAUGGGGAGAACCCCUCUGUGACCCGUCUCCCUAGCCCCCCAUCCGUCCACGGCUCCCCUCCUCAGGGUGUCUCAGAUUCUCAGACUUAGGUUUCAAGAGGCACAAUAGUUACAUUCUCCGGCUCUGAUUGCCGCAGGCCAGGCCUCUGGCUCCCCUUGAGAUUGGGUUUCCAGUGCCCUGGAUGCUCCGGAAUCACAGAAGAGGGGGAGCCAGGGAGGGGGAGGGGAGUGUCACACCGGGGAGGGCCAGGAUCAGCUCCUGAAUUGCAUCGGCCCUUCAGAGGACCCCCAGAACAGCGCACGCUCCCGCCUGCUUCCCGAACCCCAGACCUGGAGAAAGCCUGGGGAGGGGCAAGCAAACUGCAAACUCCGGGGGUUGUCCUCGCUAGCCCCCAAAGGUCAGAGGUCCGGCCGAGCUAGAGGUGGCCUCCUGUCUGGCCCAGUGCUUAGCACUGAACAUGCCGUGCCCGGUGGGACCACGGCUCUGCGUGCAUCGUCCGCUCCUACCCCUACGGGGCAGCAGGAAAUCGCUUGUUGUGUGUCCAAGCGCGUGCGCGGUUGACUGCGCUUGCCUCAGUAUACGCGCCUUGUGGGUGUG